rnacentral:rRNA from 1 species
UACGUAGGGGGCAAGCGUUAUCCGGAUUUACUGGGUGUAAAGGGAGCGUAGACGGCUGUGCAAGCCAGAUGUGAAAGCCCGGGGCUCAACCCCGGGACUGCAUUUGGGACUGCGUGGCUUGAGUGUCGGAGAGGCAGGCGGAAUUCCUAGUGUAGCGGUGAAAUGCGUAGAUAUUAGGAGGAACACCAGUGGCGAAGGCGGCCUGCUGGACGAUGACUGACGUUGAGGCUCGAAAGCGUGGGGAGCAAACAGG